UUUACAAUGGAGAGUUUGAUCCUGGCUCAGGAUGAACGCUAGCGGCAGGCUUAAUACAUGCAAGUCGUGGGGCAGCAUGUCCGUAGCAAUACGGAUGAUGGCGACCGGCAAACGGGUGCGGAACACGUACGCAACCUUCCUUCAAGCGGGGGAUAGCCCAGGGAAACUUGGAUUAAUACCCCAUAACACAGGGAACCCGCAUGGGUAUAUUGUUAAAGCUACGGCACUUGAAGAUGGGCGUGCGCCUGAUUAGGUAGUUGGCGGGGUAACGGCCCACCAAGCCUGCGAUCAGUAACUGGUGUGAGAGCACGACCAGUCACACGGGCACUGAGACACGGGCCCGACUCCU
rnacentral:rRNA from 1 species